rnacentral:rRNA from 1 species
ACACAACAAGGGCUGGGCAAGACCGGUGCCAGCCGCCGCGGUAAUACCGGCAGCCCGAGUGAUGGCCGAUCUUAUUGGGCCUAAAGCGUCCGUAGCUGGCUGCGCAAGUCCGUCGGGAAAUCCACUCGCCCAACGAGUGGGCGUCCGACGGAAACUGCACAGCUUGGGACCGGAAGGCUCGAAGGGUACGUUCGGGGUAGGAGUGAAAUCCCAUAAUCCCGCACGGACCACCGAUGGCGAAAGCACUUCGAGAAAACGGAUCCGACAGUGAGGGACGAAAGCCAGGGUCUCCAACCGGAUUAGAUACCCGGGUAGUCCUGGCCGUAAACAAUGUUCGCUAGGUAUGACACAGACUACGCGUCUCUGUUGUGCCGUAGGGAAGCCGAGAAGCGA